rnacentral:rRNA from 1 species
GACGAACGCUGGCGGCGUGCUUAACACAUGCAAGUCGAACGGAAAGGCCCUGCUUUUGUGGGGUGCUCGAGUGGCGAACGGGUGAGUAACACGUGAGUAACCUGCCCUUGACUUUGGGAUAACUUCAGGAAACUGGGGCUAAUACCGGAUAUGAGCUCCUGCUGCAUGGUGGGGGUUGGAAAGUUUCGGCGGUUGGGGAUGGACUCGCGGCUUAUCAGCUUGUUGGUGGGGUAGUGGCUUACCAAGGCUUUGACGGGUAGCCGGCAUGAGAGGGUGAACGGCCACAUUGGGACUGAGAUACGGCCCAGACUCCUACGGGAGGCAGCAGUGGGGAAUAUUGCACAAUGGGCGGAAGCCUGAUGCAGCAACGCCGCGUGCGGGAUGACGGCCUUCGGGUUGUAAACCGCUUUCGCCUGUGACGAAGCGUGAGUGACGGUAAUGGGUAAAGAAGCACCGGCUAACUACGUG